AGACGGGUACGAGAAUGAUUUAGAAUCAGAUUCCUCGAGCGAGCAGACAGACUCCCAGGGACCACAAGUGUCUUCUGAAGCUCCAGGUAACCUUAACACCACCACGUUCGAGCCCGACACUAUUAAACUCUAGUGACUCUUGGGGUUUGUAGGUGGGAUCAGUUCUGGAGAAGUCAUCUGUGAUGCUCCCAAGAACAAGGAUGUUGAAGGAGAAACCACCAACGGAGAAGGUCAAGAGGAAAAGACGACCGACACGAACCCGGACAGCCAAUACACCCUUGGAGAGCUGCUGGGAAAGGAAGACUGCGGUUCAGUCUAUGAAGGAGACCAUAAGGCAGAUGGGAACCAGCAGGUUGAGGUGCCAUGCACUGUACCCGAGACCAUCGACAUCUCAGAACGAACAUCACGUGUGGUUGAGGAC